GGGUUGUGAGGUUAAGCGACUAAGCGUACACGGUGGAUGCCCUGGCAGUCAGAGGCGAUGAAGGACGUGCUAAUCUGCGAUAAGCGUCGGUAAGGUGAUAUGAACCGUUAUAACCGGCGAUUUCCGAAUGGGGAAACCCAGUGUGUUUCGACACACUAUCAUUAACUGAAUCCAUAGGUUAAUGAGGCGAACCGGGGGAACUGAAACAUCUAAGUACCCCGAGGAAAAGAAAUCAACCGAGAUUCCCCCAGUAGCGGCGAGCGAACGGGGAGGAGCCCAGAGCCUGAAUCAGUGUGUGUGUUAGUGGAAGCGUCUGGAAAGGCGCGCGAUACAGGGUGACAGCCCCGUACACAAAAAUGCACAUGCUGUGAGCUCGAUGAGUAGGGCGGGACACGUGGUAUCCUGUCUGAAUAUGGGGGGACCAUCCUCCAAGGCUAAAUACUCCUGACUGACCGAUAGUGAACCAGUACCGUGAGGGAAAGGCGAAAAGAACCCCGGCGAGGGGAGUGAAAAAGAACCUGAAACCGUGUACGUACAAGCAGUGGGAGCAUGCUUAGGCGUGUGACUGCGUACCUUUUGUAUAAUGGGUCAGCGACUUAUAUUCUGUAGCAAGGUUAACCGAAUAGGGGAGCCGAAGGGAAACCGAGUCUUAACUGGGCGUUAAGUUGCAGGGUAUAGACCCGAAACCCGGUGAUCUAGCCAUGGGCAGGUUGAAGGUUGGGUAACACUAACUGGAGGACCGAACCGACUAAUGUUGAAAAAUUAGCGGAUGACUUGUGGCUGGGGGUGAAAGGCCAAUCAAACCGGGAGAUAGCUGGUUCUCCCCGAAAGCUAUUUAGGUAGCGCCUCGUGAACUCAUCUCCGGGGGUAGAGCACUGUUUCGGCAAGGGGGUCAUCCCGACUUACCAACCCGAUGCAAACUGCGAAUACCGGAGAAUGUUAUCACGGGAGACACACGGCGGGUGCUAACGUCCGUCGUGAAGAGGGAAACAACCCAGACCGCCAGCUAAGGUCCCAAAGUCAUGGUUAAGUGGGAAACGAUGUGGGAAGGCCCAGACAGCCAG
rnacentral:rRNA from 1 species